ensembl:lncRNA
GGAGACUUGAAGCCACUCUAUAGUGAGUCUGUUCUUCCAUGGGUGUAAAUUGAACUUCAGUCAUUCAAUAACUUACACAAGUUUCCUUCAGCUCAGGGAAAGUCGUCUGGGAGUGACUGCACCAGACCUUAAGUUAUGCUAUGGAAUUUAUACUAGUGACAAUCUACUUUUUUCCCUUAACCCUCCUGGUUGGCUUCAAACUCCUGUUUCCUACCAUUACCUCAGUCUUAGAACUUUUCAAACAAGAUGAGUGAAACACAGGCCUGAGUCUGGACCAUGAUGAAAACAGAGAGAUUCCCUCUCUUUAUUACCAAAUCCAAUUCUGUGAACCAAAAUACUGGGUCCUUGUUUCUUCUACUGUCACCAAACCAGAAGAUUUUCCUGACAAACCCCAGACUCCAAAGGCUUCAGACCUGGAUUUGGAGGAAAUUACUACCCAUGGGGACCAGGACCAUGAAGACAACUCAAAUGAAACCUUCACAUGGAAGGGAUGGGGAAAAUCAUGGUUUGACAAGGCUCCUCCUACAGCACUGAGCAAGCCAGAGGUCCAAGCCGUCAGAAAAUGGAAUUUUCUACACAAGAAGAAAGUCCAUAGAAUCACACGAUGAAGCUACUUGAAAGCAAGUGGGGAUCUAGAUUUUAGCCAGACCAGCCUGAGGGUUGGUAUCUGAGAAAACACAGCGGUAGGAGGUAAGAACAGUACAAACUGUCAAACAAAGGUCCUUAUGUUGCAGGGACUACUCAUCUUGCCAGAACUGUUAAUUUCUAAGUCACUUAAAACUAAGUGGGUUUCUCCUUGAGUACUCCUGAUGAGACAUUCUGAUAAGUGAUUGAAAUUGGACAUUUUGGUGGCUCAGACGGUAAAGCAUCUGUCUACAAUGUGGGAGACCUGGGUUCAGUCCCUGGGUCGGGAAGAUCCCCUGGAGAAGGAAAUGGCAAUCCACAGACAGAUCCCAUGGACAGAGGAGCCUGGCAGGCUACAGUCCAUGGGGUCGCAAAGAGUUGGACACGACUGAGC